UGCAUCUGAGGUUAGAUUGUUUUUCACUUGAUUUUUUUUUUAAUGAUCAGAAUAUCUUAGCUUUUGCAGGUUGACAGUUCAACAAUAGACAGUGUCUAAUAAUUAGCUUAAUGCAUUAUUCCCGUCGACAGGGUAUGUUUGUGGAACAAGUACCCCUAUACUUGUAGUUGUGGUGAUAUAUAGGCUUUUUUACUACUGGAGUAUGCUGCUUUGCUUCUAUUGCCAAUAGCGUGCUCAUUAACUGCAUUCUCCUUGAAUUGUUCAUAAGACACAAUGCUCACUAUGUAUGUUGUACACACUGAUCGGGAUUUGACAGAUCUAACCUCAGUGCCUGACCGGAGAGCUGGAUUUCUAACGGGUUCAUUCUCUACACCUUGCAUUCUAUCCCAGGGGGUUACCCCCAAAACUUCCCUGUCUGUCUGUUCUUUCGGCAAUUGUGUUAAGUAAAAACAAAAAAUGUUAUGCAACAGUGUGAUUUAUCUAAUGGUUAUCCCUUUGUCCAGUGAAAAAAAUACCUCAGUAAAUCAGUAUAUACCUUGAAAGUGCUGUUCGUUUAGUUUUUACCAAUUUCAAGCAAUGCAAGAACCAGCCUAGAUUUUACACUUCAUUUGAAUGACAGAUCUGAGAAACCAAAUUGCUAUCCUUUUGUAAAACAGAAGUAUGCAGCCUGUUUGUUUUUAUAUUCAGUCAUUAUAAAAUGAUUAGAUACCAAAUAAUCAAAACUUUUUUUGAACAAUGAAAUGUGUUCUGAGAAUCAAUGGAAUACAGGGUUUUAGAUAUGCUCUAUGUCUUAUUCAUUGUGUUAUUUUAUCUAACAGAAAAUUCAGCAUUGUGAUGUCGUGUAAUCAAUUGAGAAUUUACUACCAGUGUAUUGACAGUAUUGUUUUUAAUGUAAAUAUUUAAAGAUUUUGUUCAGAACUUUGAGGAUUUUAAUAAUGAGAAUGAGAGAGUACAGGGUUUGAGAUUGUUAUCAGCGUAUCGUGUUGACUUGCCAUCUUUAUCUGUAUCACUUGGUGCCAUACUUGGUUAACUUCAGCAACUCUGAUCAUCUGUUCCUUGUGUAAUGUGUAACAAUUUCACCUGGUUCCUUCAAUAAUGAGAGACUCUGUUAUAUCUUCAGUAUGUCAGAAAUUUUUACUGUGUUAGAUAGACUAUUUAAGAGCCUGUUAAAAUAAGGCUGUAAUUUUUAUUAUUGUGCAUGUGUUCUUUGUCUUCCGAAAGACUUAGCAGUAAUUAAUGAAUUAAUCUCCUUGUUAGGGAAGAACCCCGAAGAAAUGGCGGAAGUUGUCAACACAAGCAGAGGCCACUGAUCUGUGUCGUGUGCUGCACUUUGUAGUUAGUCUUUUUAUUGUAUGCAAGUAUUUAUCUCAGUUUUCCUAUUCAAGUUCUUUAGUGCUACUUUGUUGAGAGAUCAUGGAAUGAGAGAGAUGGGUUCGCAGGGCUUGGUCACCACAUAUCAAACGAGGUCUGGACUACAAUACACUGUAUUUUUCUGUUUCAUUUCUAUUUCCUCAAAAAAUAAUUGGUCUGACAGAUUCCAAAAUGAUUUGUUUUCUCUGUAAGAACUGGAGCUCUUUAUGAAAUGCAAAUUAAGUGUGCCUUAUAUAACUUCCAGUAUUCAGUAUCUGUACAGGUUCUCCGUCUUUCUGUUCUUUUUUUAUUCCAUCCUUGAUUUGUGAAGUGAUGACCAAGACGAGGGUCGGUGACCAGGCAAGUCGUUUUCUGUGCUCAUUGCGGAGGCUAGUAUGGACUGUACACCGAGCUGUCUAGCUGUGUCACAUUUGACCGUAGCUUGACAGGCGAUGGUGGCUUUGCGUGUUUAGUUGGGUUAGUGGAUGAGGUGUAUUUUUUGUAUGAAGGCAUUGGUUUAUAAUUAUAGUAGACUGUGAUAAUCUGUUCAGUAUCUUUCUUUUUUUCUCCCCUCUGGGAGUGCAAUUGUAAUUGUUUGUCCAGGAUAUCUCUAACAGCAUGAAAUCAACUCUCAUGCCUACCUCCUCAAAUUUACCAAUGCAAUAGAGAUAUCAAUGGAGAGAAAAAUCUUCUUUUCACACAUGCUAAUGCAUAUCAAAAAAAUAAACUUUCUUCUUUGUUUUUCAUUUUUUUUUAAAAUGAAAUUUAUUUAUGGUAUUUAGUUAGAUUUUAACUAUUGUAUUAAAGAAUGAAUUCAUAAAUCCAAAUUUGUUAAUUAUAAACCGAAAGAGUGAGAUUUUCAGAAAGUUAUUGGAAUGUAGAGUUGAUGUUUACUUUUCAAAGUACUUUUUUCUAUAAAUAAAAUUGUUU
rnacentral:sRNA from 1 species